GACGAACGCUGGCGGCGUGCUUAACACAUGCAAGUCGAACGGAAAGGCCUGCUUUCCCUUGUGGAUUGCGGGUACUCGAGUGGCGAACGGGUGAGUAACACGUGAGUGAUCUGCCCCCAACUUGGGUAUAAGCCUGGGAAACUGGGUCUAAUUCCCGAUAGGACUGCAGGGUGGUGCCUGUGGUGGAAAACGAUUUUCUAGUGGUUGGGGAUGAGCUCGCGGCCUAUCAGCUUGUUGGUGGGGUAAUGGCCUACCAAGGCGGCGACGGGUAGCCGGCCUGGGAGGGUGGACGGCCACAUUGGGACUGAGAUACGGCCCAGACUCCUACGGGAGGCAGCAGUGGGGAAUAUUGCACAAUGGGCGGAAGCCUGAUGCAGCGACGCCGCAUGGGGGAUGACGGCCUUCGGGUUGUAAACUCCUUUCGACCGCGAGGAAGCCACCUGGUUGGAAGGGUGGUGACGGUAGUGGUAGAAGAAGCACCGGCUAACUACGUG
rnacentral:rRNA from 1 species